UUCAUCGGCAUAAUUCCAAGUUGAAUGGUUAUGCCGAAGACAUUCAACGGCAUAACCAUUCAACUUGGAUAGUUAUGUCGUUGAAUGUCUUCGGCAUAACCAUUCAACUUGGGUGGUUAUG